CAGCAUGAAGUCAGCUUGCUGACUUUGAUGGCGACCGGCGCACGGGUGAGUAACGCGUAUCCAACCUGCCUGUUACCACGGCACAGCCCGUCGAAAGGCGGAUUAAUGCCGUAUGUGGUCCUUUGCGGGCAUCUAAUUAGGACUAAAGGUUCAGCGGUAACGGAUGGGGAUGCGUCCGAUUAGCUAGACGGCGGGGUAACGGCCCACCAAGCCUUCGAUGGAUAGGGGUUCUGAGAGGAAGGUCCCCACAUUGGAACUGAGACACGGUCCAAACUCC
rnacentral:rRNA from 1 species